rnacentral:rRNA from 1 species
AUUGAACGCUGGCGGCAGGCCUAACACAUGCAAGUCGAGCGGAUGAAGGGAGCUUGCUCCUGGAUUCAGCGGCGGACGGGUGAGUAAUGCCUAGGAAUCUGCCUGGUAGUGGGGGAUAACGUCCGGAAACGGGCGCUAAUACCGCAUACGUCCUGAGGGAGAAAGUGGGGGAUCUUCGGACCUCACGCUAUUAGAUGAGCCUAGGUCGGAUUAGCUAGUUGAUGGGGUAAAGGCCUACCAAGGCGACGAUCCGUAACUGGUCUGAGAGGAUGAUCAGUCACACUGGAACUGAGACACGGUCCAGACUCCUACGGGAGGCAGCAGUGGGGAAUAUUGGACAAUGGGCGAAAGCCUGAUCCAGCCAUGCCGCGUGUGUGAAGAAGGUCUUCGGAUUGUAAAGCACUUUAAGUUGGGAGGAAGGGCAGUAAGUUAAUACCUUGCUGUUUUGACGUUACCAACAGAAUAAGCACCGGCUAACUUCGUG